GGUUGGAGUGGUAAAAGAAAAAUCCUCCUAAGCCCAUAUCCUCUGUAUUAUUCCAGUGGUGGUAAUGAUUCCUGCCAGGUUGGACGAUCGGAGCUGCGUGCGUGCGUGUGUGUGUGUGUGUAGUGUGGACAACAGCUGGACAAAAAGCAAGCUCUCCUCUCCUCCAACUAAUUGUUCAGCAAAGCCAUCAAUCCUGUGACUUUUGCUGAAAUAUUUUUGAUUCUGUAUCAUAAAGUUGCUGUCAUAUUUUGUUUCAUUCACUCUGUCCUCUUAGUGGAAGCAAAACUAACCAAGUAGUUUUGCGAGUGUAGAGGCGAGUUGGAGAAAUGAGGCUACUGCUGGCAACCGCUCUCAUUCUCCUUUUCCUAUGGCUACACAAGGCGCAGACAUCCAGUGAUGCAUCGCAUGGAAAUCAUUGUGAGGCUGUAUCCAUGUGUGAGGCAGCAGUGUCUCUCCUCUUGUCUCCUCUGUCUCUGUACUCCUGGUUGACGUCCACGCUGCUCAGACUCGUCCUGUCUGCUCCGGCUCUUGUCCUCAGCUCCCUCCAUCACACCCUCCUGCUGCUCCUGGCCGGGCCUUGGUGCGUCGCCACUGUCUUCACCUCGCUGCUGCUGACCUGUCUCCGCGUAGCCCUGUACCUUCUUCACCUGGCCCUGGUGGUUGGGGUGGUGGCCAUUUUGGCCCUCACGCAGCACAAAAUGGCUGACAGUGACACGGCUAAUGAGAAAGCGUUUUACCGGCAGAAGACACUGGAGCGACGUCGCACCAAAACCAGACUGAGGAUGUUUGGUCGUACAGUUGAGCAUCAAGAGUGAGUUCUCCUGUUAUUGUGUGUUUCUUUGAGUAAAAUUUCAUCUCAGUUUGUUUGGACCUGCUUUUACCCUCAUUUAUCUAAUGAACGUACAACUGUAGUUGAUUUUUACAUAGAUUCUGUGUUUAAAUUGGUUGUGGGGUGAAAAAAGCACUGAUUAGUGUGCGUCCUUGUGACCUAAAUGAGGUUGAAAAUACAUCUGCUAGUUGCUUCUUUUACAUCAGCCUGCCGUUGUCCACUUAUCUAUCUCUCUCAUUUUCUUCCUCCUCUUCUUUAAAUGUGGCCCCCAAUUAUCUGUGGAUUGUUGUGCUGUUUUCUUCCCAUCUGCAGAUGUUAUCAUUAGACAUGUCCGUCAAAUGUAGAGGAGCAGAUAAAAGAAAAAGAGAGGCAUAAGAGAAAAUCUUGUGCAUUCAUUGCGUCAGUGCUUUUAAAUGUGUGUGUGUUUAUACAGUGCCGUCCAACAGUGCAAGGCAUGCAAACCACAUUCCUGAAAAACACUAAUAAAGGGAGUUAACAGGGAGAGAAACUAGAUGUGGUGUAGGCGUUGAGCCAAAGCGGCGAUUGCUCGGCCAACCAGUAAACAGUAUGUGCUGACACGCUUUGGCUCUCAGAUCUCAGAGAAGCAUUAGAAAUUGCAAGAAAAAACAAUUUUAUCAAAAGUAUUAACACUCCAGCCGAAGGGUGUAGCUAUAAAAAGUAAUGGGUGAACUUUCUAGGCUGGUGUGUGUGAGUGCGUGUGCUAAAGAGACAGACAAAGAGACAGAAGGGAAAUGAGGCUGGAUCAUAGAGAUUUAUUAUAUGGCCGUGGCAUCCUAAUUAGCAUAAAGACUGGACCGGCCCACUCAAGCAGAGAAUUAAAAACCUUAAUUGUGCUGUCAGCCUUCCUCUCUCUUUCUCACUGUUGACUCUACUUCAUUCCACUCGCAUUUGUCUUCUCCCGCUCUCCGCACCCUCUCCUCUCUGCUUAUGAAGUAGCCUGCGUCCAUGCUGUUUAAUUGUUGGUGAUAAAUGGGAAGUGGGAUGUUUGUAAUUGUCUCAGAGAUGGGGAAAGGACGACGGAGAUCGUCUGGAGGGAGGAGAGGAGGAGGAUGGGGAGAGUUUUCCUAUUUUGAAAGUGGAGAGCGACAAGGCCAUUUAUCAAAUGUUUGUUUGAAGGAGGAAAAUUAGCUUGGCAGACACAAGCGAGGAAGUGUUAGUGGGGAUUUGAUCACAGGCCAGACUGGAGCUACAUAUGGAGCCAAGGUUUUGCAGUAUAUUGCUGUGUUCCUGUGUUUAGGACUUGCAAACUUUCCUGUUAUUAAGUUAAGACAAUUGUAUGAUUCUGCAGUUGGUCAGCUGAGGGUUAAAACCAAUGUAAUUAACGGUAUAGCACCAUUCAUUAAAUUUGUCUUUAAUGACUUGAACAACUGAUUUGACGUGAUGAUGAGAGGCAUUCUGUAUUUUUAUUAUUAAGUGCCAAUUUUGAGCUUUAAGAAAAAUACAACUUCCCUUCUGCUAAUUAGGACUUGAAAUUGAAUAUAAACACUAACAAGUUAGACACUGAUUUACGUUAACUCUGACAGGACAUAAAUACAGCACAGAUUGGGGGGAAAAAAAGUCUAGGAUUACGGAGCUCAGUAUCAGCAUCAUGUAAAUUUAUUUGAUUGUUAAGUGUUUUUGUUUUUUGUUACCAAGCUAUAUCAUGUCGUUGUGGCCUGGUGUUCAGGGAUACUGAGCCACUGCACCAGCAGACAAUUUCUAAACUGGGAAGAACUCUCAGGACUUCUGGUUGUUUUGGGGAGUCCUUGUGAGAUAGUCCAGAAUAAAUGGGGGUAACGUUUAUGGAGUAAAAAAAAAAAAAAAAACGCACCAAAGCCACUUUACGGCAUUCACCACUUUGGUUGUACCAUACAGUCUAUGGGUUGGACACAUCAGUUGAGCAGCUGCCAAUUUCAAAACAAUGGCAUUAAUAGGAAGUGGGCAGACUGUCCAUAGAGGGGCUCUGGCACUAGUUUAAGAUAAGAUUUUUGGUGUUGCUGUGGUGUUUUUUAGACUGCAUUUCCCAGAGAUCGCCAGUGUUAUAGGCAGCACUGGACACAUUUUCUUUUUUCUUUAAGUAGUUUUCUUUUUUUAUGUUCUUCUAGGUCUGUGCACCUAGGUUUGGCAGCUGCUGUUAAUGCUAACUUACCCAGUUCUUCUUCUGCUGACAAACCUGCUGCCGCCACAACCUUACAGCAUCACUGUCUGGCUCACAGGAGGAUUUUACCUAAUAGAAACUAGACACUGUCUAAGAAAAAGAAUUUUUGCGCCAUCACUGACAGGUGUCACAUAACUGCAAUUUACAUUUAGUAACAUUUAUUUAAGGCAAAACAUUGCAUUGUAGGCUUUUUAGCAGUACAUAAUAAAACAUAAAUGUGCUGCACUAGGUAGAAAACUGGCAGCGAUUUCAAACACAGCAAGUGUGGACAAUAAAAGGUGUCUUCAGAUGUCUGAAAGCUGCAUCACAAGACAAAGACUAGAACUUAAAAAAAAAUUAUCCAAGAAAAAUAAACAAAAACAUGUAAUAUUGCCCACACUCUUUGAUCUAGGUGGUCUCUGGGAAAUUGAGUCCAAAAGCACCACAGCGAGAUCAAUAGCAACAAUCAGUCACCGAUGCCUAUAUUAGCAAACACUAGUACAUUUAAACUGCCAUUCAAACCUAAUGUAUUUGCU